GGGGGGGGGGGGGGGGGGGGGGGGGGGGGGCGGGGGGAGCGGGGGGGCCGUGCUGGGGUGGGGUGCUGGGGGGGCGAACGGGUGAGGGAGGCGUGGGUCACCUGCCCGUGACUUUGGGGUGACUUCAGGGGGCUGGGGCUACUGACGGAUCGGAGGUCCUGCUGCAUGGUGGGGGUUGGAAAGUUUCGGCGGUUGGGGAUGGACUCGCGGCUUAUCAGCUUGUGGGUGGGGUAGUGGCUUACCAAGGCUUUGACGGGUAGCCGGCCUGAGAGGGUGACCGGCCACAUUGGUACUGAGAGACGGCCCAGACUCCUACGGGAGGCAGCAGUCGGGAAUAUUGCACAAUGGGCGGAAGCCUGAUGCAGCAACGCCGCGUUCGGGAUGACGGCCUUCGGGUUGUAAACCGCUGUCGCCUGUGACGAAGCGUGAGUGACGGUAAUGGGUAAAGAAGCACCGGCUAACUACGUG
rnacentral:rRNA from 1 species